AAUAGAUACCCGGUAGUCCACGCCGUAAACGAUGAGUGCUAAGUGUUAGAGGGUUUCCGCCCUUUAGUGCUGCAGCAAACGCAUUAAGCACUCCGCCUGGGGAGUACGGUCGCAAGACUGAAACUCAAAGGAAUUGACGGGGGCCCGCACAAGCGGUGGAGCAUGUGGUUUAAUUCGAAGCAACGCGAAGAACCUUACCAGGUCUUGACAUCCCGUGACAACUCUGGAGACAGGGCGUUCCCCUUCGGGGGACACGGUGACAGGUGGUGCAUGGUUGUCGUCAGCUCGUGUCGUGAGAUGUUGGGUUAAGUCCCGCAACGAGCGCAACCCUUGAUCUUAGUUGCCAGCAUUCAGUUGGGCACUCUAAGGUGACUGCCGGUGACAAACCGGAGGAAGGUGGGGAUGACGUCAAAUCAUCAUGCCCCUUAUGACCUGGGCUACACACGUGCUACAAUGGAUGGUACAAAGGGCAGCAAAACCGCGAGGUUGAGCCAAUCCCAUAAAACCAUUCUCAGUUCGGAUUGCAGG
rnacentral:rRNA from 1 species